CUACCAGCUGCCCCAGCAUGUAAGGAUAAUUGGCCUACUGCUUUUGAAAGGUUUCUGAUAUCUAUCCCUGGCCCCGCAUCCUUAUAGAAUCCAAAUAAGGGCAAGAUAACCCCUGAUUCCCAGUGGGGGUGGAAAGUAGGUCAGUGCUGCUGUCUGGCCAAGUCUCGAGGAUGGUGUUUAAGGCCUGACUAUAGAAAACUCUGUGAUUAUUGUCCAGGGGCAAUAUAUGCAUGACCUCGGUUCCAAGGCAGUUCAUAGUAUCCCAGUCCCUGUCAGUUCUUU
rnacentral:lncRNA from 1 species